GUGUGUGUGAGGGUGGUGAGGAUACUGUUCUGUGUGUGUGCUAGGGUGGUGAGGUACUGAUCUUUUUUGGGAGGUGGAGGAAUACUGUUCUGUGUGUUUGUCGGUUAGGGUGGAGGGGUGGUGAGGAUACUGUUCUGUGUGAUUGUGUCGAGGUGCGUCUUCCGGCUGCAGGAACUGUUCUGUGUGUUUGGUUAGGGUGGCGUGGUGUGGGAGGGUUGGUGAGGUAUUUGUGUGUUUUUGUUGAGGGGUGGUGUUGAGGAUUACUGUUUCUGUGUGUGUUGGCGGGUCGGUGAGGAUGCUGUUCUGUGUGUGUGUGAGGGCUGGUCCGAGGAUUUCUCCCCUGAGGCGCUCGGUGAGGAUACUGCUUAUGGCCCUCGUUUGUUUGUU
rnacentral:lncRNA from 1 species